rnacentral:rRNA from 1 species
CUAUACAUGCAGUCGAACGAGAUUAUCCAGGCUUGCUGGUAUUUGAAAGUGGCGCACGGGUGCGUAACGCGUAUGCAACCUACCUUAAUCAGGGGGAUAGCCCGGAGAAAUCCGGAUUAACACCGCAUAAAAACACAGGAUAGCAUUAUCCAAUGUUCAAAUAUUUAUAGGAUUAAGAUGGGCAUGCGUGUCAUUAGCUAGUUGGCGGGGUAACGGCCCACCAAGGCGACGAUGACUAGGGGAUCUGAGAGGAUGACCCCCCACACUGGUACUGAGACACGGACCAGACUCCUACGGGAGGCAGCAGUAAGGAAUAUUGGUCAAUGGAGGCAACUCUGAACCAGCCAUGCCGCGUGCAGGAAGACUGCCCUAUGGGUUGUAAACUGCUUUUAUCCGGGAAUAAACCUCUUUACGAGUAAAGAGCUGAAUGUACCGGAAGAAUAAGGAUCGGCUAACUCCGUGCCAGCAGCCGCGGUAAUACGGAGGAUCCAAGCGUUAUCCGGAUUUAUUGGGUUUAAAGGGUGCGUAGGCGGCCUGUUAAGUCAGGGGUGAAAGACGGUAGCUCAACUAUCGCAGUGCCCUUGAUACUGAUGGGCUUGAAUGGACUAGAGGUAGGCGGAAUGAGACAAGUAGCGGUGAAAUGCAUAGAUAUGUCUCAGAACACCGAUUGCGAAGGCAGCUUACUAUGGUCUUAUUGACGCUGAGGCACGAAAGCGUGGGGAUCAAACAGGAUUAGAUACCCUGGUAGUCCACGCCCUAAACGAUGAACACUCGCUGUUGGCGAUACACAGUCAGCGGCUAAGCGAAAGCGUUAAGUGUUCCACCUGGGGAGUACGGUCGCAAGAUUGAAACUCAAAGGAAUUGACGGGGGCCCGCACAAGCGGAGGAGCAUGUGGUUUAAUUCGAUGAUACGCGAGGAACCUUACCCGGGCUUGAAAGUUAGUGAAUGAUUUAGAGAUAGAUCAGUCCGCAAGGACACGAAACUAGGUGCUGCAUGGCUGUCGUCAGCUCGUGCCGUGAGGUGUUGGGUUAAGUCCCGCAACGAGCGCAACCCCUAUGUUUAGUUGCCAGCACGUCAUGGUGGGGACUCUAAACAGACUGCCUGUGCAAACAGAGAGGAAGGAGGGGACGACGUCAAGUCAUCAUGGCCCUUACGUCCGGGGCUACACACGUGCUACAAUGGAUGGUACAGAGGGCAGCUACAUAGCAAUAUGAUGCGAAUCUCACAAAGCCAUUCACAGUUCGGAUUGGGGUCUGCAACUCGACCCCAUGAAGUUGGAUUCGCUAGUAAUCGCGUAUCAGCAAUGACGCGGUGAAUACGUUCCCGGGCCUUGUACACACCGCCCGUCAAGCCAUGGAAGUUGGGGGUACCUAAAGUAUGUAACCGCAAGGAGCGU